rnacentral:rRNA from 1 species
UCAAGUAAGUAAGGGCGUACGGCGGAUGCCUUGGCCAUAUCAGCCGAAGAAGGACGCGAUAAGCUGCGAUAAGCUGCGGUGAGGUGCAAGUAACCUUUGACCCGCAGAUCUCCGAAUGGGGAAACCCGGCAGCAGUAGUGCUGUCAUCCUCUAUGAGGAAGGGCACCCGGUGAACUGAAACAUCUAAGUAGCCGGAGGAAAAGGAAUCAACAGAGAUACCCCUAGUAGCGGCGAGCGAACGGGGCAGAGCCCAAACCGGAAUGGGAAACCAAUCCGGGGUUGUGGACUGCUAUCAAAUGCAUGAGUGAAGCAGAAUGAGCUGGGAAGCUCAGCCAGAGAGAGUGAGAGCCUCGUAGGCGUAAGCAAAUGCAUGGAGCAGGAUCCAGAGUACCACGGGACACGAGAAACCCUGUGGGAAGCUGGGGGGACCACCCUCCAAGGCGAAACACUGAUAUGGACCGAUAGCGCAUAGUACCGUGAGGGAAAGGUGAAAAGAACCCCGGGAGGGGAAUGAAAGAGAACCUGAAACCGUAUGUCUACAAGCAGUCGAAGACCUUUAUAUGGUCGACGGCGUGCCUAUUGAAGAAUGAACCGGCGAGUUACUUCAGCUAGCGAGGUUAAGCAGAAAAUGCGGAGCCGCAGCGAAAGCGAGUCUGAACAGGGCGUAUAGUUAGUUGGAGUAGACCCGAAACCACAGUGAUCUACCCAUGUCCAGGUUGAAGCACAGGUAAAAAUGUGUGGAGGACCGAACCAGUGAGCGUUGAAAAGCUUUUGGAUGAGAUGUGGGUAGGGGUGAAAUGCCAAUCGAACGUGGAGAUAGCUGGUUCUCCCCGAAAUAGCUUUAGGGCUAGCCUCAUGGCGAGAGUACAGGCGGUAGAGCACUGAACGGGGUAGGGGCCUAUCCGGCUACUGAACCUAAUCAAACUGCGAAUGGCUGUACUUAUCCAUGGGAGUCAGACUGUGAGUAAUAAGGCCCAUAGUCAAGAGGGAAACAGCCCAGACCAACAGCUAAGGUCCCCAAUGCCGUACUAAGUGGCGAAGGAUGUGGAAUUUCGAAAACAACCAGGAUGUUGGCUCAGAAGCAGCCACCAUUAAAAGAGUGCGUAAUAGCUCACUGGUCGAGAGACUCUGCGCCGAAGAUGUCCGGGGCUAAAGUACGGAACCGAAGCUUUGGCAAUUGACAUUAGUCAAUUGGGUAGGGGAGCGUUCCUGCAUGGGAGAAGCCUGACCGGAAGGACAGGUGGACAGGCAGGAAGAGAGAAUGCCGGUAUGAGUAGCGAAAAGAAGGGUGAGAAUCCCUUCCACCGAAAGCCUAAGGGUUCCUGGGCAACGAUCGUCGUCCCAGGGUAAGUCGGGACCUAAUCCGAGGCGGAGACGCGUAGGAGAUGGACAACAGGUUGAAAUUCCUGUACUGGCUGAGGCCGUUUGAGCGAAGGAGUGACACAGGAAGGAAGGCGCGCGUGCGAUUGGAAGAGCACGUCCAAGCAGGUAGGUCGGGAGACAGGCAAAUCCGUUUCCCAUGAGGCCGAGAUGCGAUGGGGAGCUUCUGGAGACAGAAGCGAAGGGGCUGGCACUAAACUGUCGAGAAAAGCUUCUAGUGAGGACUCAGGCACCCGUACCGAAACCGACACAGGUAGGCAGGAUGAGAAUUCUAAGGUGCGCGGGAAAACCCUCGUUAAGGAACUCGGCAAAAUAUAUCCGUAACUUCGGGAAAAGGAUAACCCAGCGUACGUGAAGUGCAGAAGCGCACGGAGCGGAGAUGGGUGGCAGAAGAGAGGCCCAAGCGACUGUUUACCACAAACACAGGCGUCUGCUAAAGCGAAAGCUGAUGUAUAGAUGCUGACACCUGCCCGGUGCUGGAAGGUUAAGAGGAAGUGUUAGCGCAAGCGAAGCAGUGAAUUGAAGCCCCAGUAAACGGCGGCCGUAACUAUAACGGUCCUAAGGUAGCGAAAUUCCUUGUCGGGU